rnacentral:rRNA from 1 species
UACGUAGGGUGCGAGCGUUAAUCGGAAUUACUGGGCGUAAAGCGUGCGCAGGCGGUUUUGUAAGACAGCUGUGAAAUCCCCGGGCUUAACCUGGGAACUGCGGUUGUGACUGCAAGACUGGAGUGUGGCAGAGGGGGGUGGAAUUCCACGUGUAGCAGUGAAAUGCGUAGAGAUGUGGAGGAACACCGAUGGCGAAGGCAGCCCCCUGGGUUAACACUGACGCUCAUGCACGAAAGCGUGGGGAGCAAAC